CCCUUAGAUGUUCUGGGCCGCACGCGCGCUACACUGAUACGCUCAACGAGCUCCUUGGCCGAAAGGUCCGGGUAAUCUUUGAAAUCGUAUCGUGAUGGGGAUAGAACAUUGCAAUUUUUGUUCUUCAACGAGGAAUGCCUAGUAGGCGCAAGUCAUCAGCUUGCGUCGAUUACGUCCCUGCCCUUUGUACACACCGCCCGUCGCUCCUACCGAUUGGGUGUGCUGGUGAAAUGUUCGGAUCGGCCGUUUGUCGCGGUUUCCGCGUCAUGUGGCUGAGAAGUUCAUUAAACCCUCCCACCUAGAGGAAGGAGAAGUCGUAACA
rnacentral:rRNA from 1 species